AGUCCUAUAACUUAGUAGUUAGAAUAUUAGGGUAUUAUUCUUAAUUAUCUGCCUACUAUUUCUUAAGUAUAUUUAAAAGUAUAAUUAGUAGAUUACUUCUAAAUAAUAUACUUAAAGAUCGCAGGUUCGAAUCCUGCUAGGACCA
rnacentral:tRNA from 1 species